rnacentral:rRNA from 1 species
CCAGCAGCUGCGGUAAUUUCAGCUCUAAUAGCGUAUAUUAAAGUUGUUGCAGUUAAAAAGCUCGUAGUCGGAAGUCGGGCUCGGGCAGGCUGUCGGCCUCGGUUGGGCAGCUUGCUUGGGUCUUCUAGCUCGGGGGCCCCGUGCCAUUUAACCGUGGUGCGCGGGAACACGGGCCGUUUACUUUGAAAAAAUCAGAUCGUUCAAAGAAGGCUAAGCUCGAAUAUGUUAGCAUGGAAUAAUGGAAUAGGACUUGGGUUCUAUUUUGUUGGUCAAUGGAUCCUAAGUAAUGAUUAAUAGGGACAGUUGGGGCCGUUUAUAUUUCGUUGUCAGAGGUGAAAUUCUUGGAUUUACGAAAGAUAAACUUCUGCGAAAGCAUUCGGCAAGGAUGUUUUCAUUGAUCAAGAACGAAAAU